UACGGAAGGCAGCAGUGGGGAAUAUUGCACAAUGGGCGCAAGCCUGAUGCAGCCAUGCCGCGUGUAUGAAGAAGGGCCUUCGGGUUGUAAAGUACUUUCAGUCGUGAGGAAGGUGUUAAGGUUAAUAACCUUAGCAAUUGACGUUAGCGACAGAAGAAGCACCGGCUAACUCCGUGCCAGCAGCCGCGGUAAUACGGAGGGUGCGAGCGUUAAUCGGAAUUACUGGGCGUAAAGGGCACGCAGGCGGUUAAUUAAGUUGGAUGUGAAAUCCCCGGGCUUAACCUGGGAAUGGCAUUCAAGACUGGUUAGCUAGAGUCUUGUAGAGGGGGUAGAAUUCCGAUGUGUAGCGGUGAAAUGCGUAGAGAUGUGGAGGAAUACCGGUGGCGAAGGCGGCCCCUGGACAAAGGACUGACGCUCAUGUGCGAAAGCGUGGGGAGCAAACAGGGAUUAGAUACC
rnacentral:rRNA from 1 species